GUAAAGUUCCACUAUAGUUGAAAAACUAAGUAUAUAAAACAUAAAAGAAUGACUUUUCUCAUAGGGUUUUAGUUUUGUUGUCUUUUAGAUGACACGAGAGAAAUCUUCAAUAAAUGCAGUUAGAAAGAAAAAAGGAAAGAGGCUUAGUCAUUAUUCUCUUUCUGAUGAAGUCCUAUCACAAACUAAAAGUUUUCUCAAUUUAUCUAACACUCUUUAGAAGAGGCACAAAAUGAAACAAAUGGUAAUUUUUAAGAGCACAAAUACUUACUCUGUUCUGCUUAAAAUAAAAUUACAUAUUCCCUCGUAAAAGAAAAGAUGUCGAAGUUAGCACAGAAGAAUGAAUUCAUGUUAUUAAGAAUUCACAAUUAAAAUAUUAAAAUUCUGACAUUAUAAAAAUGCUCAUAAACCCAUAACCAUCAUUUGAUGUCAGGAUGAUAUUAUAGUCAUUAAAAAAUAAUAUCACCUAGAAAUUGCACUUCGAACAAAGAAAUUAGAUAGAAGAAUUUUAUUAAAUAAAAUUACCAUUCCUAAAGAUGUUUGGAAUCUACUUUGGGUAACUUUUGCAUUUGUGAACAGUAAAUAUGAGCAUUAAGUACAUAUUUAAACCUGGUGAGUUACAUUUACUUUUUAUUUUUGUCACAUAUUUAGUUCUCCAGUUUGUAAGCAAUACUAGCAAAUUUAUAUUUAGAACAGCUUUCAAUUUUUAUAUGCACAUUUAAACGUGUUAAAGAUACAGUUUUCAGCAAUGUGAUAACUUAUUAGGUACCCAUACAUAGUCAACUUAGUACUGUGGAUGAAUUGUGUUCACCUAUAUAUUCAUCAAUAAAAUAUAGAACAUGCUUAUUUAUUUUUGUCUACAUAGUAAAGUGACAUUGACAGUGAACAUUUAAAUGCAAGUCAGAAUCUAUCCCUUAGCUUUACUUCACCUGGGAUUAGAAGCAAGUAUCAGUAAUGAUCCAGUUUGUGCAGUGUUAAGAAUACACAAGGUACCUGCAAAUUUAUUACAAAUAUAUUUAAUCACACAAAUGACUUUAUAAUAACAAUAAAGCGUCAUUUAAAAAGCAUAUUUUUCUCUGUGCCAUGAGAAAACAAAAAAGUACACCUUUUUCUUUAUGAUGGAGAAAAUGAUAUUUACUACUUUACGGAGCAGACAUUUGGCCUUAUCAUAUUGCAAAUGUGGAAACGAGGAUUUUAUGAAUGGGUUUCUUUUCAGAUUUUAGGGGAUAGGUAAAUCUCGUAUAGCAAAUUAUCACUUUUAUAUACUCCAGUAAACUGUUAUUUUUCACUAUCCUUAUUAUGUAUGUUGACUCUCUAAGAAAACAUUUUGAAAUCUCAGGGUUUAUUGUAGUUCCACUGGAAACAUCUUCAUUUUAACCAGAAAAAUAUUUGCUGGAAAAAUAUUUUCCACACCUAUUUUUAGUCCCAGUAAUAUACAUUUAUUUAACUAUCUGUCUUAAUUUGUAAAUAACAGUUCUGCUAUAAAAAUAUUUCAGUUCUUAUGAGUAGAAUGAUCUAAGAUAUAGAACAUUCUUGCCCAGCUAUUUAUUCCAUUUCUAUGAUCAAGAAUUAAUGUUUCAUGUUUUCUUUCUCACUGUCACUUAUGUUUAAAACGCCUUUCUCUUCUCAUUCAACUAAACCUCCUCGCCUUCUUCAUAGUCUUUCUGAAGUCCUACCUUUUAUAAACAUUUUCAAAUAACUAAAAUGGGACAGUUGCCCUUUAGAGUAAAUGGCAUCGGAUGUUGAUUUCUCUGGUAGGGAUAAUAAUGGCCCACCAAAGAUGUCCAUAUCCUAAACCCCUGGAACUGGUGAAUAUGUUAUCUUACAUAGGAAAAGAAAAUAAAGGGUGCAGAUGGAAUGAAGGCUGUUAAUGAGCUGACCUUAAAAUAAGCAGAUUAUUAUUGCAGUGGACCCAAUAUAAUUAUAGAGAGUCUUAAAAACAGAAGCAGAAGAUUGAGUCAGUUAGAGAUGCAAUGAUAGAUGAAGAAACAGAUGAGGUUUAAAAUUUGAGACAUCUUGACCCUUAGUUGCUGGAUUUGAAGAUGGAGGAAGAGAGCUUUAGUAAAGUCAUCUGAGUGGUCUCUAGAGGCUGGGACCAGCCCUCAACUGACAACCAGAAAAGUAAUGGAUGCUCAGGCUACAACAGCAGGGAAAUAAAUUCUGUCAACAAUCUGGAUGACCAUAGACAUGAAUUCUCCCCCAGAGCUUCCGGACAGAAAUGCAGGCUUACUGGACACAUUGAUUUUAGCCCAGUAAGACCCAUUUUCAAAGUUCUGAACUCCAGAAAUAUAAGACAAUACAUUUCUAUUGUUUUAAGCCUAUAGAGAAGGUUGGUUCUGUUCCACUGUGGCAAACUGAGCCAAAGGCUUUUACCACCCACUCUUCCCAGAAUUCCAUUGAAAUAUUAGUAAAUAGAAGAAUAUAUUCAUAAAAGACUGAAAAACAAGGCUGGUCUGAUGGUAGUGGGUUAUCAAAACAUAGCAUUAGUGACACUAAAGUUAGUCUACAACCCCUCACUGCUAAAUUUGACUGGCUUAAAAGAAAGAAAUCAAAACCAAGAGAAGGAACAUCCACAGAUAUUUAAUGAAUUGUAGAAGAUAGAAAAUAGUUGGGAACAUAUUGAUGAGCAAGCUGAAGUGGAAGAAUUAGAGACCCAAACCUGCACAGACAAGCCUGUGGUGGAAGCGAGCAUGGGCAUUUUCUGCCAAGUCCUGGAAGACUGGCAGUUUAAAACUAGAGAGUGAGAAGUGAGACAGAAAUCACAGUGACUAUGAGAAGAAAUAUCUAUAGAUCAGCUGUGCAAGUUUCUUCAUUUUCAUCCCCAGGUAAAAAAUUAGUGGAAUAAUCUUCCAGAGGAGUACGGUUUCCAGAGUGGGGGUUGUCCACUGGUGUAAGCCGUCUUCAGAGUGAAAGAUGGGAAAGAAGACUUCCUGCCUGUUCCUGGAUCUUGUACUUAAGGGGAAAGAGUCAAUAGACUUAAUUAUACUUUUGUCCCCAGGUUAUGGGACAAUCCUGUGGAAAGGUCUUCUUCCAGAGGUGAGCCUUUCGUUGAGACUGAGCUCCUGGCUCAUAAUUUGACUGCAGCCUCAAGAGAAUCUUUAACAAGAGGCACCGAGCUAAGCCACAUCCAGACUCUUGACCCAAAGAAACAAUGAGAUAGUAAACUGUGAUAUAUUUAUUUUUGUAUUAUUUAUUUUAUGUAUUAUUAUUGUAUUAUUUACAUUAUUAUGAAGGUAAUUUAUUAUGCAGCAAUAAUUAAUAUACAUAUUUAUAUGUGUAUUUACACACACAAAUAUAUAAUUUGUCUAUUGACUUUGUAAAUUUUGAAUUUUUGUGUAAUCAAAUAUGUCUC
rnacentral:lncRNA from 1 species